UCUUUGCUGGUAUAUCGGUAGAACACCACCCUGUCAUGUCACGUGAUCGAGCGGUGGAGAGCAGGGUUCGACUCCCUGGCAAAGAG